GUUCGGUGGAAACGAGAAUAAAACGUGAAGGACAACGUUGCGUCAGCAACGGCCCGUAGGGCGAGGCAAAGCCGAGUCAUCCUGCACAACCCACCA
rnacentral:sRNA from 2 species